GAUGAACGCCAGCGGCAGGCCUAAUACAUGCAAGUCGAACGGCGUCUUCGGACAUAGUGGCGCACGGGUGCGUAACACGUAUGCAACCUACCUUACAUUGGGGGAUAGCCUUUCGAAAGGGAGAUUAAUACCGCAUAAGACAGUAGCUGGGCAUCCAGUAGCUGUUAAAGAUUUAUCGAUGUAAGCUGGGCAUGCGUCCAAUUAGUUAGUUGGUGAGGUAACGGCUCACCAAGACGAUGAUUGGUAGGGGAACGGAGAGGUCAAUCCCCCACACGGGACAUGGGCUACGGGCCAGACUCGUGCGGGAGGAAGCAGUAGGGAAUAUUGGGCAAUGGAAGCAAGUCUGACCCAGCCAUGACGCGUGGAGAAAGAAGGCGUUCUGCGUUGUAAACUGCUUUUAUAUAGGAAGAAACGACCCUUGCGUGGGGCAUUGACGGUAUUAUAUGAAUAAGCACCGGCUAACUCCGUGCCAGCCGCCGCAGUAAAAC
rnacentral:rRNA from 1 species